UCGAAUGUAAUUAGAGUUGGUUGUCGCUGGCGCUCUUCAUUGGGCGCAUGUGCACGCCUUCUCUAUUUCAUCCACACACACUUGUGCACCUGUGAGACGGACUGACCCCCUCGGGGCGACGGUCCGCCUAUUAUACAUAAACUCUAAUAAAUAUAAAUCUGAAUGUCAUUUGAUGUAAACGCAUCUUUAAAC
rnacentral:misc_RNA from 1 species